CCUACGGGAGGCAGCAGUAAGGAAUAUUGGUCAAUGGACGCAAGUCUGAACCAGCCAUGCCGCGUGGAGGAUGAAGGUCCUCUGGAUUGUAAACUUCUUUUAUAUGGGACGAAAAAAGGGUUUUCUAACUCGUCUGACGGUACCAUAUGAAUAAGCACCGGCUAACUCCGUGCCAGCAGCCGCGGUAAU
rnacentral:rRNA from 1 species